UUGUUGGUGAGGUAAAGGCUUACCAAGGCUUCGAUCAGUAGCUGGUCUGAGAGGACGACCAGCCACACUGGGACUGAGACACGGCCCAGACUCCUACGGGAGGCAGCAGUGGGGAAUUUUGGACAAUGGGGGAAACCCUGAUCCAGCCAUGCCGCGUGAGUGAAGAAGGCCUUCGGGUUGUAAAGCUCUUUCAGCCGGAACGAAACGGUUACGAUUAAUACCUGUAACUACUGACGGUACCGGAAGAAGAAGCACCGGCUAACUACGUGCCAGCAGCCGCGGUAAUACGUAGGGUGCGAGCGUUAAUCGGAAUUACUGGGCGUAAAGCGUGCGCAGGUGGUUUUGUAAGUCAGAUGUGAAAUCCCCGGGCUUAACCUGGGAACUGCGUUUGAAACUACAAGGCUAGAGUGUGGCAGAGGGGGGUGGAAUUCCGCGUGUAGCAGUGAAAUGCGUAGAGAUGUGGAGGAACACCGAUGGCGAAGGCAGCCCCCUGGGUCAACACUGACGCUCAGGCACGAAAGCAUGGGGAGCAAACAGGAUUAGAUACCCUGGUAGUCCAUGCCCUAAACGAUGUCAACUAGUUGUCGGGUCUUAACGGGCUUGGUAACGUAGCUAACGCGUGAAGUUGACCGCCUGGGGAGUACGAUCGCAAGAUUAAAACUCAAAGGAAUUGACGGGGACCCGCACAAGCGGUGGAUUAUGUGGAUUAAUUCGAUGCAACGCGAAAAACCUUACCUACCCUUGACAUGUAUUGGAGCCCGCAGAGAUGUGGGUGUGCCCGAAAGGGAACGAUAACACAGGUGCUGCAUGGCUGUCGGCAGCUCGUGUCGUGAGAUGUUGGGUUAAGUCCCGCAACGAGCGCAACCCUUGUCAUUAAUUGCCAUCAUUUAGUUGGGCACUUUAAUGAGACCGCCGG
rnacentral:rRNA from 1 species